rnacentral:snoRNA from 1 species
AUGACCUUCCAAGUUUUAUAAAGAAUAGGAUGAUAUUAUUUGCGUUUUAAAAGUCGAACAAUUCUUCUCGACGCCUUGUGCGUUGAGGUUUUAAUGGAGAGUGUGGUUCCUGCGCAGACCAAUAUAAUCUUGUUACAUUCUUUGAAUGACAAGGACACUAUACUUAGAAAAUUCUGAUUCUU